rnacentral:hammerhead_ribozyme from 1 species
AUACUGCUGAGGAGUCCCACAAUAGGACGAAACGAUCGUCAAAU